rnacentral:rRNA from 1 species
CCGGAUGAACUAGCAUGCGAGUCAUUGUAGUAAUACAAGGCAGACGGCUCAGUAACGCGUAGUCAACCUACCCUAUGGACGGGGAUAACCUCGGGAAACUGAGAAUAAUACCCGAUAGAACAUUAUGCCUGGAAUGGUUUAUGUUUCAAAUAAUUUAUUGCCGUAGGAUGGGACUGCGGCCUAUCAGUUUGUUGGUGAGGUAAUGGCCCACCAAGACUAUUACAGGUACGGGCUCUGAGAGGAGUAGCCCGGAGAUGGGUACUGAGACACGGACCCAGGCCCUAUGGGGCGCAGCAGGCGAGAAAACUUUGCAAUGUGCGAAAGCACGACAAGGUUAAUCCGAGUGGUUUCUGCUAAAGGAACCUUUUGUCAGUCCUAGAAACACUGAUGAAUAAGGGGUGGGCAAGUUCUGGUGUCAGCCGCCGCGGUAAAACCAGCACCUCAAGUGGUCAGGAUGAUUAUUGGGCCUAAAGCAUCCGUAGCCUGCUUUGUAAGUUUUCGGUUAAAUCCAUAUGCUCAACGUAUGGGCUGCCGGGAAUACUGCAAAGCUAGGGAGUGGGAGAGGUAGACGGUACUCGGUAGGAAGGGGUAAAAUCCUUUGAUCUAUUGAUGACCACCUGUGGCGAAGGCGGUCUACCAGAACACGUCCGACGGUGAGGGAUGAAAGCUGGGGGAGCAAACCGGAUUAGAUACCCGGGUAGUCCCAGCUGUAAACUAUGCAAACUCAGUGAUGCAUUGGCUUGAUGCCAAUGCAGUGCUGCAGGGAAGCCGUUAAGUUUGCCGCCUGGGAAGUACGUACGCAAGUAUGAAACUUAAAGGAAUUGGCGGGGGAGCACCACAAUGGGUGAAGCCUGCGGUUCAAUUGGAGUCAACGCCGGG